UUACGGUCAGAUCACGCUGAAAACACCGGUUCUCGUUCGAUCACCGAAGUUAAGCAUCGUAUAGCCAGGUCAGUACUUAGAUGGGGGACCGCUCAGAAACACCUGGUACUGUAAG
rnacentral:rRNA from 1 species